rnacentral:rRNA from 1 species
AUUGAACGCUGGCGGCAGGCUUAACACAUGCAAGUCGCGCGAGCGGCGGACGGGUGAGUAAUGUCUGGGAAACUGCCUGAUGGAGGGGGAUAACUACUGGACACGGUGGCUAAUACCGCAUACUAUCGGAUGCACCCAUAUGGGAUUAGCUAGUAGGUGGGGUAAAGGCUCACCUAGGCGACGAUCUCUAGCUGGUCUGAGAGGAUGAUCAGCCACACGGGAACUGAGACACGGCCCAGACUCCUACGUGAGGCAGCAGUGGGGAAUAUUGCACAAUGGGCGCAAGCCUGAUGCAGCCAUGCCGCGUGUAUGAAGAAGGCCUUAGGGUUGUAAAGUACUUUCAGCGGGGAGGCGUUACCCGCAGAAGAAGCACCGGCUAACUACGUGCCAGCCGCCGCGGUAAUAC